AUCCAACCGACAAGUCUUAAAUAGGACGAAAUCCACGUCCUGGAU
rfam:Schistosoma rodhaini strain Burundi genome assembly, scaffold: SROB_scaffold0000297